AUGACCCCCUCCUCACCUUCUCACCCUUGGGGCCGGGCAAACCUCGUGCACCUUUGGAGCCCUAGGGAAGGAGAGCAGUAUUGGAGAUGGGAGAGCAGAGCUGGGGUCUACCUCAGCCCUGGGAGACACAGGGAUGGGGUUAUAGGCAGCAACUCACGGGUUCGCCCAGCAGCACACCCUCCAGCAGCGCCGGCUCACCCUGCAGUGACACAGGGUCAGGCACAGACCUUUGCCUACUAUGGGGUGAGGUCCCCCCCAAAUGCACACUCCAUUCCUUACCUUCUCGCCCUUGGCACCAGGAGGGCCAGCGAUACCCUGGGGCAGAUGGAAGAGAGGCAGCAGUCAGUGGGUCUGUGGUCACCCACUAGCCCUGGUGAGCAGGGGAAGCUGCAAGGAAGCACUCACCUGCCCCGGCGCUCCCACAUCCCCUGGCUCUCCUUUGGGGCCGGUAGGGCCGGAUGGUCCUGGCACACCCUGGCACAAAGCAUACAGCCCUCAGCCCCAGCUCUGCAGCCUAGGCUGAGCACCCAGCCCCAGUGUGAUAGCACUGGGGUGACCGGUGUCAUACCAACUUCCCGGGCAUCCCUGGCUCGCCGUCCUUCCCUGGCACACCAUCCCGCCCAGGCACACCUGGCUUGCCGCUCUCUCCCUGCAGAGUUUGAGAGCAGAGUUGGGGCUAUGCACAUCCCACAGCCGGGCAGCUCAUGGGGUUGGCAUCCCCCCAUGCUGAGGGCAGCUCAGGAGGCCACAUGCUCACCACUUGUCCUGGCAGCCCAGGGGCACCCGGUGGGCCCUGUGAUGGACACACGACCAGAAAUCAACCCACAGCUGAGGCAGCGGGAACGGCUGCUCCUGAGGAGCAGGUUGAGGGUACCUACCACAAGACCAGGAGGGCCAGGGGGGCCAGGCAGCCCCAUGCUGCCCUGGGGACCGGGCAAUCCCUGCAAGGGGAACAGCGUGGUCAGGGAGGAGAUGCCACGCUGGCACAUCUCUCUGGGGCUGCGGGAGCUCAGCUGUCCCCAAGGAAGGGGUUGGUUUUGGGGAGGCUCACCCGGAUGCUGGCACCAGGUUCCCCUGGAUCACCCUGUGGGGACAGAACCCAUGUCAGUCCCGCUGCCCAUUUUCCCUGCCACCACCAUCACAACUGUGUUCCUACAUCCCCUGAGCCCUGAGUGCCUCUAG
rnacentral:lncRNA from 1 species